UAACCGGAUUAGAUACCCUGGUAGCCCUAAAAGGAAACGAGAGUGCAAGUGUAGAGGGUUUCCCCCUUUUAGUGCUGCAGCUAACGCAUUAAGCACUCCGCCUGGGGAGUACGGUCGCAAGACUGAAACUCAAAGGAAUUGACUGGGGCCCGCACAAGCGGUGGAGCAUGUGGUUUAAUUCGAAGCAACGCGAAGAACCUUACCAGGUCUUGACAUCCUCUGACAACUCUAGAGAUAGAGCGUUCCCCUUCGGGGGACAGAGUGACAGGUGGUGCAUGGUUGUCGUCAGCUCGUGUCGUGAGAUGUUGGGUUAAGUCCCGCAACGAGCGCAACCCUUGAUCUUAGUUGCCAGCAUUCAGUUGGGCACUCUAAGGUGACUGCCGGUGACAAACCGGAGGAAGGUGGGGAUGACGUCAAAUCAUCAUGCCCCUUAUGACCUGGGCUACACACGUGCUACAAUGGAUGGUACAAAGGGCUGCAAGACCGCGAGGUCAAGCCAAUCCCAUAAAACCAUUCUCAGUUCGGAUUGUAGGCUGCAACUCGCCUACAUGAAGCUGGAAUCGCUAGUAAUCGCGGAUCAGCAUGCCGCGGUGAAUACGU
rnacentral:rRNA from 1 species